AUUGAACGCUGGCGGCAUGCCUUACACAUGCAAGUCGAACGGCAGCGCGGACUUCGGUCUGGCGGCGAGUGGCGAACGGGUGAGUAAUGCAUCGGAACGUACCUUUCAGUGGGGGAUAACGUAGCGAAAGUUACGCUAAUACCGCAUAUUCUGUGAGCAGGAAAGCAGGGGAUCGCAAGACCUUGCGCUGAUUGAGCGGCCGAUGUCAGAUUAGCUAGUUGGUGAGGUAAAGGCUUACCCAGGCGACGAUCUGUAGCGGGUCUGAGAGGAUGAUCCGCCACACUGGGACUGAGACACGGCCCAGACUCCUACGGGAGGCAGCAGUGGGGAAUUUUGGACAAUGGUGGCAACCCUGAUCCAGCCAUGCCGCGUGAGUGAAGAAGGCCUUCGGGUUGUAAAGCUCUUUCGGCCGGGAAGAAAUCGCAUGGGUUAAUACCCUGUGUGGAUGACGGUACCGGAAUAAGAAGCACCGGCUAACUACGUGCCAGCCGCCGCAGUAAGAC
rnacentral:rRNA from 1 species